rnacentral:rRNA from 1 species
GAUGAACGCUGACAGAAUGCUUAACACAUGCAAGUCGAUGGGGAAGUGGUGCUUGCACCAUGGCAACCAUGGCGGACGGGUGAGUAACGCGUAAGGGACUUACCUGCAGGACUGGGAUAACAGGGGGAAACUCCUGACAAGACCGGAUAAUGUCAUGGAGCUGCAUGGCUUUAUGAUGAAAGGAGACGCCUGCGGAGAGCCUUGCGUCCUAUUAGCUAGUUGGUGAGGUAAUGGCUCACCAAGGCGAAGAUAGGUAGCCGGCCUGAGAGGGUGGACGGCCACAAGGGGACUGAGAUACGGCCCUUACUCCUACGGGAGGCAGCAGUGGGGAAUAUUGGACAAGGGGGGCAACCCUGAUCCAGCAAUUCUGUGUGCACGAAGAAGGUUUUCGGAGUGUAAAGUGCUUUCAGCAGGGAAGAAGUAAGUGACGGUACCUGCAGAAGAAGCGACGGCUAAAUACGUG